rnacentral:rRNA from 1 species
CCUACGGGAGGCAGCAGUGAGGAAUAUUGGUCAAUGGCCGGAAGGCUGAACCAGCCAUGCCGCGUGAAGGGCAGGGCCCUAUGGGCGUUAAACUUCUUUUGUGCGGGAGCAAUAAUGGUCACGUGUGGCCAGACGAGAGUACCGUACGAAUACGCAUCGGCUAACGCCGUGCCAGCAGCCGAGGUAAUACGGGGGAUGCCAGCGUUGUCCGGAUUUACUGGGUGUAAAGGGCGUGUAGGCGGGUUGAAAAGUCAGAUGUGAAAUCCUGCGGCUUAACCGCAGAACUGCCUUUGAAACUGUUGAUCUUGAGUACUGGAGAGGCAGACGGAAUUCCUAGUGUAGCGGUGAAAUGCGUAGAUAUUAGGAGGAACACCAGUGGCGAAGGCGGUCUGCUGGACAGCAACUGACGGUGAGGCGCGAAAGCGUGGGGAGCAAACAGGAUUAGAUACCCGAGUAGUC